UGAGGAAUAUUGGGCAAUGGGCGCAAGCCUGACCCAGCAACGCCGCGUGGAGGAAGACGGCCUUCGGGUUGUAAACUCCUUUUACGGGGGAAGAGGAAGGACGGUACCCCGCGAAUAAGUCACGGCUAACUACGUGCCAGCAGCCGCGGUAAUACGUAGGUGACAAGCGUUAUCCGGAAUUACUGGGCGUAAAGCGCACGCAGGCGGCGCGUUAAGUCUGAUGUGAAAUCUCCUGGCUUAACUGGGAGGGGUCAUUGGAAACUGGCGAGCUUGAGGCGAUGAGAGGGGUGUAGAAUUCCCGGUGUAGUGGUGGAAUGCGUAGAUAUCGGGAGGAAUACCAGUGGCGAAAAGCGGCACCCUGGCAUUAGCCUGACGCUCAUGUGCGAAGGCGUGGGGAGCGAACGGGAUUAGAUACCCCGGUAGUCCACGCGGUAAACGAUGAAUACUAGGUGUGGGAGGAGUGAAAAUCCCUCUGUGCCGAAGCAAAGCGCGCU
rnacentral:rRNA from 1 species